GCGAUUUCCGGCUAGGAAGCCUUUUCUGUCAGAUUCCUCAACCCCUAAGCGAUCCCAUAAUGAUUCAACCGCAGUUCGCAAUUCGUUGAUUUUUCGUUCGCGUCCGCGCUUUUCGUCGAUUAAUUUAUCUCGCUUUUCACGAAGUGAGGAAAGAUCUGAUUCGUGCAAUCCUAACUGCUCAGGCGAUUCGCGAUAAUGCUUAACAAUUGGGGAGUCAGUCUGUGCUUGCGGAGUACCUAGCUCCGCCCAGAGUUUUACUAUUUCUUCCGAAAUAUUCUGCACUACUUGGACACGACGUGUAUAUUCUUCAUAAACCCGAGUGAAUUCUUUGUCCAGGGCUGAUGCGUAUGAUGGCGAGAGGUCAAAGGUGGGUGGGAUGGCAGACCCGUCGGUGGUUGGAGGUAAUGGGACCUUCACAAAUGAUGGCUCAAGGUGAGAGGAAUAAGACUCGAGGGCUUGGACGAGCUCUAAACAAGGACAAAAUAUCAGUUACUCUUUCAUCAGACUGCG
rnacentral:sRNA from 2 species